rnacentral:misc_RNA from 1 species
CCUAGGGUUGUAGCUUUGCCUGCUACCUCUUACCCAUGUCUUUUGAGUACCUUCGUUUCCUCGGCGGGUCCGCCCGCCGAUUGGACAAUUUAAACCAUUUGCAGUUGCAAUCAGCGUCUGAAAGAACUUAAUAGUUAC